rnacentral:lncRNA from 1 species
AGGUAACGAACACUUCCUUUUGCUCUCAGGAUCUCCAACCCCGCUUUGUCUUGCGAAGCCUGUGAUAAUAUAAUUUCUCUGGGUUCAUACAGUCGCAAAAGCUCACUGAAUUGCUGAAGAAUCCAUCAGAAGAGAGCAAUGGCAAGCGCGAAGAGGAUGCGAGGCCCUGCUUGUUAGUGUAUUCAGGUGAUGAAGAGAAGAACCUAGGCUUUUUCAAUCGGGAAGAAGCAGAAUACUUAUACAUGGGAGAACCUGAGAGUAGCUACCUGACAUCAAUUGAGCAACCGUGCGAUUUGAACUGCAGUAGUUCUCCGGAGCAGCGCUGCACCACUCCUCCUGAGUGGUGGGAGUCUUGGCCCUUGACAGAAUAGAACCCUGUCGUCGCCGGAACAUGUGAACCAUAGUAGAGCUGAUGGAGUGAGCCUGCUGUUUGGAGUCAGAUUAGAGUUCCAGAUGCUCAUGUAAAAUAGCUUAUGAUUCAGGGAGUGCAUGAAAUUUCUGAUGCUAUGUCGUCAUCCCAAUGUAAUCAGAAUGAAUAAACUUAGAAUCGACAGAGAGUAAUGUGUCUACUGUUUCCCAAAUCCACUCUUAACACAGGUAAGCAUCGAGUUCAAACAAUCGACUACAUUUAUUCUGUCUGCCAUGAAAUAUCUAUUUAUGUUUCUGCAAUGAAGCGCAGAUGCACGAAUUCAAGCAAGCAGCAAGCAAGCAAGCAAUUUCACCUUGACGGCAAGUGUAUGAUGCUUCAGGAAUGAGAUCGGUCAAGACUCCUGACCUCUCAUAAGAAUCAUCAACAUCAAGGGCAUUAUUUAACUCUUAGUAUAUUGCAAAUGCUUCAGGUGAACGAAAGCAACAACAGCAAAAGCUGUCGAGUUUUUUGACUAACCAUAAUAUUAGCUUAUGAAUUAGGACACGAUCAUAUCAGUGACUCCCAGUCUGACAGCUCUGAUGGUUGUAUCCUGCAACACCAGAUCAUAAUACAAGAUACUUACUGCCAGAAAGGAGAAAAAAAGGGGGAUAGAUAAAUAAAAUCCUACAUAGCAUAGACGCGUAAAAAAAAAUUAAGGAAUGCUGCUGCAUAUCCUAAACACAGAGAGAGGGGGGAAAGAGAGAGUGAGGAUUAGCGGAAUACUGCUAAAAUGAUCACAUAUAUUUCAUAAAUGAGUCUUCAGCAUAGCAUUAUAAGCACACCAUUAUGACAGUAAGUAUCUUGACAGUAAGUAAAUAGCUAUGCUAUUUACUCCAAUCUUGACAGCUCUGCUAUUUAGAUUUGUUGAGGGAGUGUUUGGUUGCCUUUGCAUACUAUUGUACACAGUGUGCAUGCCAAGGAUCUAUAAUAGGGCAAACAAGAAAUAUUAGAGAACCUGAGAUCCCACAAACAAUAGUCUGAUUAAACUCGGAAUGGGCCGCUUUUGAGUUUUAACUUCCUUUGAGAGACAGACAACGAGGUAGAAGUGAAAAUGACAAAUCGAACGAGGUAGGAGCAGAAGAAGCUCCUGGUUGAGUGCAUGUACAGGGUUGAUGAGGGCUAAGGUCAAGCGAUCUUCACUAAAGGCAGAGGGAAGCAAUGGUAGCAAGCAAAGAAAUUCUCGAUCAAUCUCAAGUAAAGCAUGACCAUAAUCCUUCACAAACACUAUAUAAUAAUCAGGUCCAACCAAUGAGGAUCUGUCAUCUCAUAACUAUGAGGCACAAGGCCCCCUAAAGCCAAAGCAGACUCCAUGAUGCCUCAUAAAACCCUCAUAUAACAAUCAUCUAUGGCAUGUUAUGAUCCAACCUCUCUCAUGUUGGAAAACUGAGGCCAUGAAUUCCCCAUGAUCUACCAUAUAAAGAUAAAGUCCUAGAAGGCAUUCCAAUCAUAUAUUACAUCCACCAUUCAAGGGAAAAGGCUCCUAAAUCCAGCUUCUUCCAAGUACACUCCUAUUGAUCGACCUCUUCUUGUCUUACUUGGACUGAACGCUUGAACAGUCUUAAAGAGUUGCAGCUUAGCUCAUGGUAUACAUAUCAGCUCUUUAAAAAUGUGAUGGACAUGAUUAAUAUAGAGAAUAAAUUACUGGACUGCUGGCGCAGCUUCCAAAUGUGUGAAAAAGGUGUAAAUGCUGAUCAUUUAUUGAACAUGCACAUGAUGAAAUUGAACGAAAUUGAGAAGCUAUUUCUCAAAAGAAGAAACUGAGAGGCAAACUAUGUAGAACAUAUUGUUGAAUGAAAAGCACAAACAAUGUGCUAAAGCUGGCAGAUGGUAAGGAUGACAAAGUUAACGACAAAAUGUAGAAACAUAUAUAAAGGCCAAUUUGUCAACUCUUCAAGCAAAGAAUGAUCAGCAAUUUGCAUAUCUUUCCAGCGAAGAACUUAGAAGGUCCAAAAGAGAAGUGCAAAUAGGGCACAACUGAAUUUUAAGUUCUUUCAUAUAAUUACAGCAAACCAUUUUUUUCCCCUGAAGAAAGUUGGGCGAUGCUAGAAUUCUAGAAUGGAUUAAUUUUGGUUUUUCUGCCAGGGUUUCUUAGUUAAUUGAAUACUAUUAUUUUGGUUUUCUCAAAGGAGAGGUGAUUCAUAUUUUAAGAUGUUUUAGACUGUAAAUACCCUAAGCUCCUAGAGAUAACAUGACAGAGCAUGACACUUCUUGGCACUGUAUGAAGAUCAUUCUUAUGCCAGACCAAACUGCCAACACCUGAAACCAUUUUGCAGUGUGAUGUAAUGGACAGUAGUGCAAAAACCAAGGAUAGGGAUUUUGGGUCUAUAUAAUGUAAAUAGAGGUUUUUUUGGCUACUGAAUAGAGAUGAUUUUUUGUCAUAAAUUAAAUUGACUGAACCUUAAGUCUUUUUUUAAGAAAAAAAUCUAAUUAUUAAAGCCAAAAGCACGGAUUGCGGCUACUAUAACAUAAUGGACCAACCACAGCCAAACACAACAUCAUUAAUGACACAACAGCCACUAGCCAAAAUUACAGAAGUGACAGGACCCACACAAAGACUCUUUGGCAGUGGGAAAAAGACAUCAACUAAGCAAUUACCAAACUGUGAACAGCAUGCAGAGACCCAAACGGGAAGCAACUUCCAGGGCAAAGGCUUGGCAUACAAGAGAUUAAAAGCCAUUCAGCUCUCCAGGAAAAGAAUGUGACCGCUCCGCAAUAUGAUGUGGAACGACACUAUAGCCAGCAAGGCCACAGCAACAGCCAGCUAAUGCCCAAAAUAUGAAUAUCAGCAAGACCAACAAGCAUAGAAACAAAGCAAGGCCUGUCAACAAACACCUUUAACCUACUGCUAUCACAUUCUCCCAAAUGCUACCCCUUGAUUUGCUAGAGGGAGCAAGAAUAAACAAAUCUUAGCCUAGAAAAUGCCCCCAAAAUUUUUCUAUCUUUAGCUCUUUAGUGUUUCAGUUUUUGUGGAAGUCGGUGUCAUUAUCCUGCAUCUAGUUGAAGGUGCUUGAUUAAUCAUUAUCCUUUAUUCCUUUUUCCAUCCAAAGACUCUCUAUCUCCCUCUUCCUCAUACAAUAAUAUUCUUUCCAAUGCUUUCCUUUCUUUAAAUAUUAUUAUUGAUUUACUAUACGUUGCCAAUACCCCAAGGCCCAAAGCCUAUUGUUUCAGAAUCUUUGAACUUUUCCACAUCUUUACUUUCCAGAUGCUAGUAUGCCCCCUAUAAGUGAACAAGUUCCUUAUUGCUCCAUACUACUCAAAAUGGGAACAGUGCAAACAAUUUAACACCCCAACUGUUGCCCUUUCGGCAAGCUUAGUCUUUAGCUUGAACUCAUAUAAGUGGCAUAAAAAUUCUAUUAUCCCCUCUAUAUUGAAAAUGAAUGAAUGACUUACUGAACCUACUCUUAACAGUUACAUCUCAAAAAAUCACUUCAUUUCUUUUUCCCAAUUCAAACCUAAUUAAGUCAGGCACUCCCAUCCCAAUCAAUUUAUAUCUUGCUUAAUCUUAUUGAUGGCCUCCUUAAAGAUUUUUAGUAGAAACCACACUAGAAUCUCCCUGUAAACCUAAGAAAUGCACUCCAAGUACAAUUAAAAUUCCCUUUCCCUCUAACGCUGCAUGUGAUGCAGGUGCAAAGGAGCUAGUUAAGACCUUCCAUAAGAAUCCAUGCUUAAAGCCCAGAUAAUCAGUUCAGCUCAAGGAAAGAUCCCAGAAGGCCCUAAACAAACAAAACUGUACAUGCCUAUGAUGUGACAAUAACUGAUUUCGAAAAAAAAAUCAAACACAAUAAAACAUUUUUGGUAGAACUCACCAGAAUCUGUCAUUAGAGAAAAAUCAAUCCAAAUACAAAUCCUGCCAUAUCGAAAUUCUCCUUAGACCAUAAAUGGGGCAAAAAAUAAGAUAUCUUCAUGACAGAAAAAUCUAUCUUUCCUGCUAGAAUCAAAUCUCUUUGUUUUCUUUAUUUUUUGCCUCUUUUUAGUGGCUUCUGAGAUAUGGUUUAGAAGUUCAUAUGGAAAACAAGAUGGUUCAGAUAUACUACACUAGCUCUAAUAAGUAUUCUUGCAUCUUGCAAUUUUAUAUACUACUUUUGUAAUGAUCUUGUAAAUCACAAAGAUCAUGAUUAGAUAUGAUUUGGAUGCCUUCUUUUAGGAAGGAUAGGAGUUUUGAGCCCUAUAGAAUAACCUCACAUAUUGGCCCUUUUGAUUGAAUGAAGUUUACUUUUCCACUCUCAAGCUCUAUAUUGUAAGUGAUUGUUUUGUUGUUUUUCCCUUUUAUAUUGUCUACUUGGAUUGACAGGGAAAUUUUGAAAUAUUGCUCAUCAAGAAGGUCACUUUCUGCACUAGCAUCCUUCAUUUGUCCUAGCACCGACCACUUUCAUUCCUUUUCAUCACAAUUUUGUUGACUAAAACAUACAAUAAGUUAACAUCCUUGCCACAAAAUUCUCCACUCUUCUUAAGGAUUCUGAACUUUUCAAAUCGCUACAUUCACAAUUCCCAUUCAUCAUUUAUAACAAUCCAAUAAACAAAAUUCUUUGAAAUUUUGUUGCGAGUGUGAAAAUAAUUUAGUAGUUAUUCCACUUUAAAAAAACUAUUCAGUCUUUUUUCCUAAAUUUUUUAGUUUAGUAACUCCAUUGGUGCUUCUCAUAUUUUUUGUAUUUGCAAAUUUUGACCUCCAAUAUUUUCCUGAAAUUCUCCUAUAUUUACAUCAAAUUGUGAAUUUGUGGUCUUGUCAUAUCAAUCCCAAAGCCGAACCUCAAUGGUACGGUUUAUGCUCCGCAUCUUGGAUGCUCCUGUUUUCAUAUGUGAACUUUUAAUGUUCACCUCCCUAGCUCACAUUAAAAUAAAGGCACAACCGUUGAAAACAAUUACUGUGGAUGAAAUGCACAAAAGUGCUAUAUUGUUCCUCACUUGAUCAGGUGGCUCGGCAACCUAAUGCCACGUAGUAGAUUGCAGUUCACAAUCCAAAAAAAUAAGAUUUCUCAAAAGCAGUCCUUUAUGCUAAACAAGAAAGGGGAGAAAAAGUCUGUUGCUUUGUUGCUUAGCAUUGACCUUGAGAAAAGUUUUAUUUAUUUUAUGAGUUAAGCCGCAAGAUGUUAAACAAACUCAUAAUCAUGGUCUGUUGUGCCGGUACCGGGCACUAAAUCGGUUGCCUGGCAACACAGGCCCACGCCGUGCCGGGCUUGUACCGACACAAUAGAGGAGGCGGGGGAGAGGGCAAAGGGCGCCGGCAUCCGACAGCCCUCCGCCGGCCUCUGCCCUCACUCGCUCGUUCUUUUUCUCUCUUUCCUUUUCCUUCUCCUCCUCUGGCAACGAGUUUAUUUUCCAUUGCCAAAACUGUCCAGAUCCGUCAUUGGGACAGCUUGGUACGACCGGAACCAUCCGGUUCAGCACGGUUCCGCCGAUCCUGCUCAUAAUUCUUCUUAGGAAAAUAAAAAUAGUUGUGUUUAUCAGAUAUAAUAUCUGAGAGGAUAGAAGAAACAAAAUUAGGAAUCUAAUGUUCUGAAAGGCUAAAUACAACUUUCUUCAUAUGUUCUUCAAGAAAAUUACAGACAGAUUGUUUCAUGAAAAAUUUGUGUAUCCUUUAGCUUUAUGUUAGACUUUGGCCAUGGAAUUCUGACAUACAAGAAUACGAUAUAUUUUCUGUUAAUUUUAAUGGACCUAUUCACAAUUGACAAAUAGAUUUAUGCCUUGGUUCACAACUUCACAUCAACGCAUCUAUAUGAAAGAACGAAAAAGUGCUUUUCUUGUUACGCAAUAAGAAGCCUUUGAUUCUCAAUGUUCAUCGAUAGGCAUAGACAACUUAUAUGGUUAUAUCUGCACCUGAUAACACAUUAAAAUGGAGGAGAAUUAACUAGAACCCGGAUGUCACAGAGUUACUAAGAAUUAACUACCUGGCUGGGUGUAUGUACAGGCACAAAAAUGUAACUAACAUUUCUGAACAGUGAUAAACAAUAUAAAAUGAAUUAAUUCCACGAGACUUCGUAAAAGAACAACUCCGUGGACUAGCAUCUUUUGUUGUCAACAACCAUGCAAGAAAUGAGAUUAAAACACGUUGAAAGCUUCCUGCUGCAAAGCAUUCUCUUUAAGCUUCCAUUUCAUCAGAAAAUUUGUGUUCAGAAUCUCUAAAAGCUGCCUCUGCAGGCUUUAAAACCAAUAUAAGGGGAAGAUAGUCAUGGACAAAGUAAGUUAUGAAGUGGUAGCCCAGAUUGCUGUAUGGCAAUAAUACUAUCAUUUUGUCAUAAGAUAAAUCAAAGUUAAUAUGAAUUGAAUUCACACUUUAAUCCCUCUUCCUUUUAAUGGAUUUUUUUUUCCAAUACAGUCAAAUUUUAGAUUAACAAGUACAUAUAUGCAUGCUGUAUACAAGAUGAAGCGUCAUUUCAUAAUCAAUAUUAGAUAAUUUGACAAGAGAAAUACUUAAUUCCAAGUGUUAUAUGUGAUGAAGUAUAAUAGUUAGGAUAACUUUUAAGUUUGAUAAUAGUUGUCAAAGCCACAUUCUGAAGACUACCAAGUCACAAUAAGGAUUUCCUUGCAUCAAAGUUUGAACAAAAAAGAUAGAAAAGAAAUGCCCAAAUGAACCAUCAUUUUAGAUAAUGUAUGAGAAGGCUUUUUCAAAGGCAAGUCCAAACGUAAAUUGAACAGGAAGAGGGGCCUCUAGUCAUCCCACAUAAGUUUUUCAAGUUCACUUAAAUCUUGACAUUCUUCAAAAACGAAUUACAAUAUUAUGAGUAUCCAACAUUAAACAAAAUUUAUUUAUUCGCAUAGAAUCAAGAUAUACAGCACAGUAACAAUUUACAAAGGAUAAGACUGAGCACUUUUAACAUUCCAAAGGAAAAAAGGAUAUCCAUUAAGUCACAGAUUACUGAAAAUGUGAAAGGCAAAUUAGAAUAGCAAAAGCACCAAUACAUAUGAAUGGGAACUACAGAAACAAUGAUGUAAAAUAACAACAUCCAUACAGAGAAUAUCAGAUACAGCAACUAAAUGAGGGAAUAUCUAGUAGUCUGUUGUCUUUACUGCAUGGAUAGAAGAAACUUAGAGCUUUCUGAACCAGUUUUCUAGUAGAUUAUAGUUUGUUUUAAAUUUCUUAACUUGAUAAGAUGAUUUUCUUAGUUGGCUAACCAUUUGCUUUUGAAUUCAAGGUAGAACUUAACUUUCUAAAAAUUUCAAGUAUGACCAGCGCAAAAAAAAUUAUAAUUUUGCUGUAGCUUGGGUUGAGGUAGUUCUAAAGUUGCAUAAUAAUUGAAAAUGAUUUAGUUAUCUAUUUAGGACCCUUCUUAUCAACGAACUUGGGGACUUGAUGGCAGCUUCCAGCAUAAGUAUUGUUUAAGAAAAAGUGCUUUCACCUACCUCUUUCUGCUAGAUUUUCUUUCUCUAAAAGGGACUGGAACUCCACUUCUCAUUACUCUCCUAACAACUCUCUGAUCUAAAACCAAAAACUCAUAUUCUUUUUUCUCAUAUCAUCCACAUACAUUGAAUGGAAAGAAAAGUACUUGAUGGGAAUCUGUAGUGCCCAUAGAUGCAUCCAGCCUUUUCCCCUUGGGUAGGUUCAUCUGCUUUUUAUGCUCCUUUUUUUUUCUAAUGAUGAAUUUGUUAUGCCUCAAGUCAUAUCAAUUUAGUAGUGAAGCAAAUUAUAGUUUUACCGGAAUUUUUUUUUUCUGUUUCCAAAUACUCAGAACAAAGACUCAGGUGCACAAGCAAGUUGAGGAAGCCAGGACAAGGGAACAAGUUAUAGCCAACUGGAGGAUACCGAUGCAUGAAGAAUAAAUAAGUAAUAAAUAAAUAAAACUUAUAUUUUAGGAACAACAGAGUUUAUUCUAUUUUGUAUGUUAAUAACGAAAAAAAUAGUUAACAUUACUAAGGUUUUCAGAAACUCAUGGUAGUUUUAUAACUUCAUAAUGUAAGCAGUUUAGAGUUUUAGUUAAUUAAGUACAAACUUGAUUUUGGAUAGAAAUGUAGUAAGUGUGUAUCCAGGCAUCCUUUCUUUGAGAUAAAUUGCUGUUAAAAAUUCGAGUAUAGACUACUUGCUUAUGAGGAUUACAAUGUAAAGUGAUUCACCUAAAUACAUGCAAAACUUUGGGUUUGGUGGUUAUACAAUAUAUUAUAGAAUCGAUUAUUGAUUGAAGAACACGUUCUUCAACAUUAAUUAGGCUUUUCUAUACUCUGCUCUCUUCACCAAAAUUGGUUGGUGCUCCAACUCCUAGUGUAUGACAAACCAAUGUCAAAUUAGAAAAUGGAUCUGUUUUUCUUUUUAUUUUCCCUCCUUCAUCAUGACCCCUAUGCCAUGCUGUCUGUUUCUUUAUUUAGAGCUCAUCCACUUUAGAACACAUCCAUUUCACCCUCUUGUGUUCCAAUUUCUUCACAACUGCUCCAUCUUUUCAGUUCUCCAGAGGUUGCUACUUGAUGCACAAUCCAAGGUUCGGAUUGGGCAGUAUUUAUUCAAGACAAGAGUGGGUGAAACAACUGCUCCCAGAUGAAUGGCAACGCUUUUCAAAUAAGAAUUCAUUGAGUUCAACCAAAAAAACGACAUGAAAAAAAUAAAGAACUACGGUACCCGUAGUUAAUCUGAGUUAUAUGAGAUUAAGAAAUGGAAGAACAAUUUUGCAAAAGAAGCGGUAUCCCAUCUAGAAGAUAAUUGCUGAUAACAGCUAAGUUCUUCUGUUCUUUUAAAUUGUCGAAAUAUUUUUUUUUUUGGAACACUCGUACCAGAUGAAUACAAGUGCAUCCUCUAAAAUAAGGCGUCGAGAAAAUCGUGGACCCAUUUAAAAAUUAAAACCCCCACGCAACACAGCAUCACGGCAUCACAGAUGUUGAUGCUAGUGCUGCAAGGAAUGGAGGAGGAGGUACCUUGAGGCCGGGAGUAUUGCCUUUGGUGACUCGAUUCUCAGCAAUGUGGCAGGCCAUGACUUCUUCCCACCGAAAGUUGAAUCGUGACACCAAAAGGGUAGUGAAGAAGGGGACCUGGAGAGAGCAAGGAGGAAGAGUGGAGUCAGAAUGGAGGCGGACGCGAGCAAGUAGUCGAGGGAAGAGGUGAGAAGGGGGGAGUUGUCGCUUGUCGGGCCUG